rnacentral:tRNA from 1 species
AGAGUAUAGCUCAGUGGUAGAGUGUGUGCUUAGCAUGCACAAGGUUCUGGGUUCAAUCCCCAGUGCCUCUG